CAAUAGCGUAUAUUAAAGUUGUUGCAGUUAAAAAGCUCGUAGUUGGAUUUCUGGUGGGAGCGAUCGGUCUGGCGCUUAGCGCGAGUACUUGCAUCGUCUCCGGCCAUCCUUGGGGAGAGUCUGUCUGGCAUUAGGUUGUCGGGCAGAGGAUCCUCAUCGUUUACUGUGAAAAAAUUAGAGUGUUCAAAGCAGGCAUAUGCCGUUGAAUAUAUUAGCAUGGAAUAAUAAGAUAGGACUUUGGUACUAUUUUGUUGGUUUGCGCACCAAAGUAAUGAUUAAUAGGGACAGUUGGGGGUAUUCGUAUUCCGUUGUCAGAGGUGAAAUUCUUGGAUUUACGGAAGACGAACUACUGCGAAAGCAUUUACCAAGGAUGUUUUCAUUAA
rnacentral:rRNA from 1 species